UCACUGAAGAUGAAGUCGGUGAUGAAGAAGAAAUUUCCAAGAAACAAAGGAAAAAGGAGAAGCCAAAGAAAUUUACUAAGCCACCAAAAAAGCAACUGUCCUCACCCUGUUCUCAAAAGAAAGAGAAGACACUGGAGAAGUCAACUUCUAGAGAUGUAUCUCCUUUUGUUGUGAGCAUGCAGAAGAACAAGUGGGACGCCACAAGAUCCUUGAGAUUCAACCAGGAUGCACAGAGAGAGGACGAUCAGCGGCGGAUGUCUGAAAUUACAGGGCAUCUAAUAAAAAUGAGACUGGGUGAUCUGGACCGAGUCAAGGCAAAGGAAUCAAAAGAAUUUGCAGGAGGCAUUUAUUCUAGGCUUGAAGCCCAAGUCAAAGCCUCAGUGCCUGUCACUGCCCGGCAAAACAGCUCAGACAAAAACCAGAGGUCUAAAAGUCGUUUUGGUCAAGGGCGUCCUGCAUAAAGACCCUAGAUAUAAAAAGAGCGAAGGCACACUCUGGACAUCUGAAAUGUUCACUCCUCGAAGAUCUUCAGUGACUGCUAGGUGCUCUAUGAGUUAUCCCUGCAGACCACACAAAUCAUGCUACGGUGACUGCUAGGUAUUCCAUUAGUUAUCCCUGCAAACCACAAAAAUCAUGCUUACACAAAUAUAUAGUUAGGUUUCGUUAAAAUCUUAACUGUAUAUAUAAAUUUUCCUAUAUAAAUUUCUCUUUGUAUAAUUCUAGGCUGUGUAGAAAAUAAUUGCAUACAUAGUUAAUAUUCUCAAUAUCUGUUGCCCUUUAUUUAUUUGACAAAGAAGAGUCCUAAGUUGGUAAGACCCUAAGAAAUUAAGGGCACAGGCCUGGGAGUGUCACUGUGCAGUACACUGACCGCUGUAUGUUUGGGGAGUGUGGAGUCUUAGGCAUAGCGUUGGGAAAUGAAUUUGUGUAAUGAGCUGUCGGUGAUGUUAAAUUUAGCUGUGUGGAUAUUAGGGAGUGACAGAUCCCGAUGCGGUGUUAGUAGAGUUUCAAGUGAGGGCAUCGCAGUACUAUGUUGGUCAAGAAGGGUUCAUCUUUCAGGAUUAUUAUAUGGAAAGUUCAAUGUUAGUUCACCUUCUGUUUCUUUCAAUUUUUCAUAGUUAUCUGUAAAUCAUAGGAGCCUAAAAUGAGGUCCUUGCCCUUCUCCUCUGUGAAGCUAGUGACACUGGCCCACCGAAGGCAGCGUGAGCUGGCCUGGGGUGCUGGGUCACUUCAGCUCUGUGGCACAGGCAGACGCAGGCUUCUCACACCCACUCAUCCUCUGAGUCUCCUUCAACCCCCUCACAGCAAGGGACUGCUAGUCACUUAGAGACGGCUUCAAACUUCCCAGAUAAAGGAGACGUUCAAAUAAAACUAGUUUACAGAUCAUGUUUUUAAUUUUUUCUAACCAGGUAGACAGCACACUCAGGGAAAUUUUGUUCCAGACUGUAAGCAUGUACUGUUACAUGUUUGGAAAUUGUUUAUGGGUCUCUGAGAACCAUGAGAUGUACACCGUUUCUAUGUUUAGUUUUCCUUUGCCUUGUGACUCACAUCUUUGGAUUAUUCAGAGAAUAAAUCUUGUAAAAGAUUUACACCUAGUUCACACAAAAAAAUUAUAAUUGUUAGUAUCUUUUAGUUGCUAUAUGAAGCUCCUAAUUAUUUGUUAUUUAUGUUUUUAAUAUCUAUUUGGAAAUUUUAUUCUGGUAUACAGAUGCUUUUUAGUUAUCUGAUACUUCAGAAAUAGCUUUUAUCAUAUUUAUUUUCAAGAAAGUGUUCUUUGAAUGCGAUGUGUAAGUCCCAUGAGUUACCAGUCUUACUGUUGGCUCCUGGAUUCUCUGAAAGAAAGAUUUGGAUUUAUGUAUGUAAGCAGCUUGUGAUCAUUGUAAUUAGAAGGAAAUAUGCUCUUUUGAUUUUCACAAAUGAUGAAAGUGCUCAUUGCUUCUCUGCAGAGGGGGCUGAUUUACUGACUGAUGUUAACAGACUUUGUUGAAAUCUGAUUUCAUGUGGAAUGUGCUUUUUAUUUUGUGUCUGUCUGUGAUACACGGACAGGCAUUUCUUCUACCAAGUACUUUAAGGCUUUCCUUACAUUAAUUCUGAAUUCAAACUUAUUGAAAUAAAUGGCAAUGACAAAAACUGUGG
rnacentral:lncRNA from 1 species